CUCUGUCCACCCCCAUAUGAAAUAUUUCUCCUGAAAGUGUCUAAGAGGAAUAAUUCAUAUUUUAUAUGGAUAACUUCUUGCCUUUCCUGCUUAACAUUAAAACCCCCUGUUUAUCAAAACCAGGAAUGGACUUCCAUCUAUUAUCCAUCUAUUUUCAUCUUUUGCUUUUGGGGAUUUUUGAUGAUCCAUGUAGCCCAUGAACCAUGGACUACAGUUGCCCUUCCCUAUUCCAGAUCAUAUUGAAAUAAUUUAUUAAUUAUUGUGUAUCCCACCUUUUGAGCAAAAUUAGGAGUGAGGAGAUUGGAAUAAAAAAUAUAGGACAAAGUACUGCAUUAAACAUGUAGCCACAGUACUGUAGCUGUGCUUGAAGUACACAUCCAACUAUUGAAGCCUACCUUAAAAGCCAGUCAGCCUCCUGCCACAAUAGAUAUCUGAGUUUCUGGAGAGCAGGUCACUGCAGGAUGAGGUGAGGUUUAGGGCCAUUUGCAGUCAUAGCAAUAGUGUUACAAUUGCAAAUAAGAAUAUGAAAUAAGAAUAUGAAAUAAUCUCUUUUAAUUGACUAACAGGAAUCAAUGACAUAACCAGGUUAGUUAGGGAAAAUAGUAUUCAAAGGGAUCUUGAAGCACCUUAUAGAUUGGGAGAACAAAAUUGGCAGCAUAGUUUUUUGUAGACUAAAUCUACCACCUCAGAUACAUGAGGGAAGUAUCGAACCAUAGAUCUUUAUAGGCAGACUGUAUGAACCUUGUCACAUGGCUACUGGCAUCGCUCUGCUUCAUUGGGGAGCGUGGAAAAUCCGGCACCCCACGCCCUGCAUUGCUCAGAUCCAGGGAGUGCACAUAAAACGUGCAGCUUCCUCCUAAUUGAUUGUAUGGCAACAUGGGAGCCCCCUUGGGUUGCCCUGUUGCCCGCAUGGGCCGGUUCUGCCCUCCUUCAGCCAUGGAGCCAUGCCGUCAUUGUCUGAUGGGAGCCAGCCAGGUCUGUGGGUGAUCUAGGCUAAAAUCAGUGCAUGCCACCAUUUUAGCCGUGUGAAGAGGACCUGUGUGUGUUAAUACGCAUAAAUUGCAAAAGCUAUGAGUAUGGUGAUGAGGUGAGUGGUUCAGUUUUGACACUGUUAUCAAGGGACAAAGGCUGGAAGGAGGGAAGGUGCCUAAAGGUGAGACGAAUAGAUAAAAAUAUGAAUGGUGGAGGAAACUAUUGGAAUGUAGUGUGGUGCUGGAUGGGAACAACAAAAAAGGAUAAUUUGAUAAAUUGUCUAAAAGGGCCUUUAUGAGGUAGGUAUGUUAACUAAUGUUAUAUGUGUAGUGCACCAGGAAGCCAUUUCAUCAUUUCAAACAUCUGUUGAUGGACUGGAAUUUGUAGAUAUAUUUCAAUUCUACCAUUUCUCUGUUGUUUUUGUUCUUGGUGGACAGCUGUUCUGCAAGUGAUGAAAGGCCCAGAUAACAAGAUAUCAAGGAUAUUAUUAUUAUUAUCAUUAUGUUUAUGUAUAACCUGCUUUUUUAUCUCCAUAAAAAAGACUCAAAGCGGCUACAAUACUGUAUACUAUAAUGUGAAGUAAGUGUCUCCUAAUCUCCAUGUUUUACUGAUCCACAUGCUUGAACAUAAAGUCACCCAACCUGAUGUAUUAUCUAAUGGGACACAAACAAAGGACUUCAUCACACGCAAUAAAAUUAGCAUUUCUACACAUUUAAGAAAUGGCUACCAACAGAGCACAUCACAUGAUGCAAGUUCAUACUGUGAGUUUCAGGUAUUCAGCCAUUUAUAAAGUGUGGUUUUUUCCCCCUAUGGUUUCUAAGUCGAUUGGCAGCCGACUUCAUUUUAAAUUCUCCAUGUAGAUAUGGGCAAAAAUGUCAAAUUUAACAUAUGAUGGGAAUUCCCCAUUGCCCACUUGUAAACAAAAUGAUGACAUUGUUCUGAAGAAAGGAGCUGAGAUGGGCAGUAUAGAUUCCUUUCUUCUGCCAUAAUCUUUUUGGGACUGGGGAGGAAGGAAUGGUAAUUGAUAUCUUUUUGUUAUCAAUGUAAAUUCAACAGAGUCACCUUUGAAUUGAGAAGAAUCUGUACUUAAAAAGGAAAUUGUAAUUUAAAAUAAUAUAGAGUAGAAGAAAACUUGUUUGAUGAUCUUGCAUUAAAAAGUGCUACCGCGAGGACAAACACAAAGGAUUUUUUCAAGUAAUAGAAAAUGGGGGAGGAGGCAGUGGAAGGAGAAAUAUGUCUUCUGUGUGAUGGGAAGGCAAAUGGAUAAUCUGAAAAGAAAUCUGAAUGAAGGAAAACAUGUUAUGGGGAUAGGAAAAUCAUUUGUUUAAUUUCCAAGCAGGACAUUGCAAAACUUAAGGGAAAAACAACUAUCCCCAACUUUUUCUUAUUACGUGGGAUGAAGUCCAAAGACCAUGGAAAGGUUUUGGACCUGAUCUGUCCACUAUUUUGGGUAACCCUUAAAUAAAAGAUAUACAUUUUUGUAUUUAUUGCUGUAGAAUGCACAGUUUUCGAUGAGUUUUAGACCAAUUUGAUAGAUACACUUGAGUUGACAUCCCAGACUUCUUUGUGUAUGUUUAGAACAGAGUGUCAAACUUUGGCUUUUUUCAAAAACAUGGAAUGUGGUGUGAAACAAGCUUUAAAGCAGUAGGUUAUAUGAUGCAGGUGUUGGUUCCAUUCAAAUCAUAAGUGAAAUAAUCAAUAUCAAUCGGGGGAAUGCUCAGUAAUUUCAUAGCAAGUUAUAACAAAAACAAAGAAAUUAUAAAAUUUAAACAUUUUUUGAUUAAGUGCUGUUUUAAAAGCUACAAGGUACAGGCAGUCCCCAAUUUACAAACAUCUGACUUAUAAACGACCCAUAGUUAAGAAUGGGGGGUGAGACAACAGGAAGUGAGAGAAAUCUACCCCCUUGGAUUGGAAAUUCACUCCUGAAAGUGUUAUCAUGGGGAAAGGUGUCUCAACUGAAGCUUGAUCACCAAUCCUUUCAAAAUUCAAUGAUCACAGGGACAGAAAGUGAGCACAGGAGCACAGACAGCAAAGCAAACACCACAGAGGACUCAACCCUUCCCCAGGUGAUCCAAAAUUGGAGUUACACUUCAAAAAUGCACCUGUUCCAACUUACCUACAAAUUCAACUUAAGAACACUGCAAGUCGCUUCUGGUGUGCAAGGACGUUGCCCAGGGGAUGCCUGGAUGUUUUGAUGUUUUUACCAUCCUUGUGGGAAGCUUCUCUCAUGUCCCCACAUGGAGCUGGAGCUGAUAGAGGGAGCUCAUCCGCGCUCCCCAGUUGGAUUCAAACCUGGCAGCCUUCAGGUCAGCAACCCAACCUUCAAGUCACAAGGCUUUAACCCACUACGCCACCGGGGUUGCAGUUUCUCAAGUCGCCCCUGACAUGAAAAAAACCCCCCAAAAAACCAAAAACUUAAGAACAAACUACAGAACCCAUCUUGUUCAUAAAUUGGGGACUGUCUGUAUUUGUUUCCAGGGUAGAAAAAUAUUUUUAGUCUAAUUCCACCAUAAUUAUGGUAUAUAUUGUGGUCGUUUUCCUUUGUUUCAUAGAAUCAUAGAUUCAUAGAAUAGUAGAGUUGGAAGAGACCUCAUGGGCCAUCCAGUCCAACCCCCUGCCAAGAAGCAGGAAAUCGCAUUCAUAGCACCCCCGACAGAUGGCCAUCCAGCCUCUGUUUAAAAGCCUCCAAAGAAGGAGCCUCCACCACAGUCCGGGGGAGAGAGUUCCAGUGCCGAACAGCUCUCACAGUGAGGAAGUUCUUCCUGAUGUUCAGGUGGAAUCUCCUUUCCUGUAGUUUGAAGCCAUUGUUCCGUGUCCUAGUCUGCAGUGCAGCAGAAAACAAGCUUUCUCCCUCCUCCCUAUGACUUCCCCUCACAUAUUUGUACAUGGCUAUUAUGUCUCCUCUCAGCCUUCUCUUCUGCAGGCUAAACAUGCCCAGUUCUUUAAGCCUCUCCUCAUAGGGCUUGUUCUCCAGACCUUUGAUCAUUUUAGUUGCCCUCCUCUGGACGCUUUCCAGCUUGUCAACAUCUCCCUUCAACUGUGGUGCCCAGAAUUGGGCACAGUAUUCCAGGUAUGGUCUGACCAAGGCAGAAUAGAGGGGAAGCAGGCCAGAAUCCCGUUGGCUUUCUUAGCAGCUGCAUCACAUUGCUGGCUCAUGUUUAACUUGUUGUCCACAAGGACUCCAAGAUCUUUUUCACAUGUACUGCUGUCUAGCCAGGUGUCCCCCAUUCUGUAUCUUUGCAUUCCAUUUUUUCUGCCGAAGUGAAGUAUCUUGCAUUUGUCCCUGUUGAACUUCAUUUUGUUAGUUUCGGCCCAUCUCUCUAGUCUGUCAAGAUCGUUUUGAAUUCUGCUUCUUUCUUCUGGAGUGUUGGCUAUCCCUCCCAGUUUGGUGUCGUCUGCAAACUUGAUGAUCGUGCCUUCUAACCCUUCGUCUAAGUCGUUAAUAAAGAUGUUGAACAGAACCGAGCCCAGGACAGAACCCUGCGGCACUCCACUCGUGACUUCUUUCCAAGAUGAAGACGACGCAUUGAAAUAAGACAGCAGAGCAGCAAACAGAGGGAACUCCAGGAUUACCUGAAGAAGGUCUACCUGAAGAAGGUCACCGAAACUGGAUGCAUACCCGGGAGACCAGUCGUUACUAUUGACAUGGAACUUUGUUGCUAUUGAUAAGGAACUUUUAUUUACUAUUGACAUGGAACUUUGAUUUACUUUGAAUGGUCGAAUUUGAAGAAGAGUACUACAAACCUUGAGAACACUAUCAAGAUUGUAUUUGUUAAAAUUGGACAUUGAAAUAUGUACUUAUCUGUACAGUUGGAAUAUGUAAAUUGAUAUUACAGUCAUAAUAUAUGUGAUUAUAUCACUUGAGGAAAUAUAGAACUAUAACUUACUUUAAAGUACAA